rnacentral:rRNA from 1 species
UACAGAGGGUGCAAACGUUGCUCGGAAUCAUUGGGCGUAAAGCGCACGUAGGCGGCUCAGCAAGCGGGGAGUGAAAGCCCUCGGCUUAACCUAGGAAGUGCAUUCGAAACUGCUGGGCUUGAGUUCUGGAGAGGAAGGCGGAAUUCUCGGUGUAGAGGUGAAAUUCGUAGAUAUCGAGAGGAACACCGGUGGCGAAGGCGGCCUUCUGGACAGUGACUGACGCUGAGACGCGAAAGCGUGGGGAGCAAACAGG